rnacentral:rRNA from 1 species
GACGAACGCUGGCGGCGUGCUUAACACAUGCAAGUCGAACGAUGAAGCCGGAGCUUGCUCUGGUGAAUUAGUGGCGAACGGGUGAGUAACACGUGAGUAACCUGCCCUUGACUCUGGGAUAACUGCGGGAAACUGUAGCUAAUACCGGAUACGAAUCCUGCAGGCAUCUGCGGGAUUGGAAAGUUUUUCGGUCAGGGAUGGGCCCGCGGCCUAUCAGCUUGUUGGUGAGGUAGUGGCUCACCAAGGCGACGACGGGUAGCCGGCCUGAGAGGGCGACCGGCCACACUGGGACUGAGACACGGCCCAGACUCCUACGGGAGGCAGCAGUGGGGAAUAUUGCACAAUGGGCGCAAGCCUGAUGCAGCAACGCCGCGUGAGGGAUGACGGCCUUCGGGUUGUAAGCCUCUUUUAGUAGGGAAGAAGCGAAAGUGACGGUACCUGCAGAAAAAGCACCGGCUAACUACGUGCCAGCAGCCGCGGUAA